GCCAGUGCUCUUACCUCUGAGCUCUGCUCCAGGCCAGGAGCAGUAACUCUGUGUGGAAAUUCAGAAGACUAACAUGCUUUGAGUGUCCAACUCGACAGCCUGAGAGGCCUGUGUAAGAGUCUGGGUAUGGCAUCACACCCCCAAGAAACCAUCUGGCGACAAAAGCUGGAGACGCUGGAACCCUUCUUUGGCGAAUGAUUCAUUCUAACAGGAAUGGACAAGUAUUUGGGGAUGACAGGACACUAUGGAUCUGCAGAGUGGGACUUUACCAAGUUCAGUUUGGAGCAUGCCACUUCUCUCUAUGCCAUCUGCUACUGAUCUUGCUGUGUUCAGUAGCUGAAAAAUAGAGUUCUGGUAUUUUCCUCAUGCCCAGUCAUACUGCUCGGAACGUCUGUUUGUCCCUACUGACCUAAUCACCAAGUUAGUGGAGUCGGUUAUUUUAGGAAUUUUAAUCUUUACAUAGAAGGGAAAGAAGGGCUGGAGUACAAGCCAAGGCAUUCUUACAACAGAGCACGGCUUCCUGCCAAGUUCCUACAUCCUUAUCCUCGUGAUCUGUGAAUGUGACCCACAUGGUGAGAAACAGCACUGUAUGGAUGGUUAAGUCAAGUUCGGAGGUGGCCACAGACACAAGAGCCUAUCCCCGUAGAGGACAGAGGCAAAGAGAGGUGUCACACACUAAGGGAGAAAGGCAGGGAGACCACAGAUGGAGCGAUUCUACCCAUGGGGCCAGCAGCCAGGGAGUGCUGACUGCUGCUAUCAGGAGCCCACCAAGACAAGAAACUGGUUCUCCUGAGCCCUGCUGAAGCUGUUUUUCCACCAGUGAGACUGAGUUUCCAGCCUCCACGCCGGGAGUGGUUACCCUCUGCUGUAUUCGGCCACCAAACCGUGGUCAGGCACAAGCAAAUAAAAGAGUAGCCUGUCCCUGAAA